GAACGCACCUUGCGCUCCUUGGUAUUCCGAGGAGCAUGCCUGUUUGAGUGUCAUUUAAUUCUCAACCUUAUUAGCUUUUGCUGAUAAUGGCUUGGAUGUGGGGGUUUUCUUUUGCUGGCUUUCGUCAGCUCCCCUUAAAUGCAUUAGCUGGUGCCCCGCGUGGACUGUCCGUUCGGUGUGAUAAUUAUCUACAUUCUGGACAUCUGCUUAAUGCUGCUUUCUAAACUUCAUAUGUAUUGACCAUCUUGACCUCAAAUCAGGUAGGACUACCCGCUGAACUUAAG
rnacentral:misc_RNA from 1 species